rnacentral:rRNA from 1 species
UAGAGUUUUGAUCAUGGCUCAGAUUGAACGCUGGCGGCAGGCUUAACACAUGCAAGUCGAGCGGUAGCACAGGGGAGCUUGCUCCCUGGGUGACGAGCGGCGGACGGGUGAGUAAUGUCUGGGAAACUGCCUGAUGGAGGGGGAUAACUACUGGAAACGGUAGCUAAUACCGCAUAACGUCGCAAGACCAAAGAGGGGGACCUUCGGGCCUCUUGCCAUCAGAUGUGCCCAGAUGGGAUUAGCUAGUAGGUGGGGUAAUGGCUCACCUAGGCGACGAUCCCUAGCUGGUCUGAGAGGAUGACCAGCCACACUGGAACUGAGACACGGUCCAGACUCCUACGGGAGGCAGCAGUGGGGAAUAUUGCACAAUGGGCGCAAGCCUGAUGCAGCCAUGCCGCGUGUGUGAAGAAGGCCUUCGGGUUGUAAAGCACUUUCAGCGAGGAGGAAGGUGGUGAGCUUAAUACGUUCAUCAAUUGACGUUACUCGCAGAAGAAGCACCGGCUAACUCCGUGCCAGCAGCCGCGGUAAUACGGAGGGUGCAAGCGUUAAUCGGAAUUACUGGGCGUAAAGCGCACGCAGGCGGUUUGUUAAGUCAGAUGUGAAAUCCCCGGGCUCAACCUGGGAACUGCAUUUGAAACUGGCAAGCUAGAGUCUCGUAGAGGGGGGUAGAAUUCCAGGUGUAGCGGUGAAAUGCGUAGAGAUCUGGAGGAAUACCGGUGGCGAAGGCGGCCCCCUGGACGAAGACUGACGCUCAGGUGCGAAAGC